GAUGAACGCUGGCGGCGUGCUUAACACAUGCAAGUCGAACGGAAAGGCCUAAUCUUGCUUGGGUUCUCGAGUGGCGAACGGGUGUGUAACACGUGGGUGAUCUGCCCUGCACUUCGGUAUAAUCCUGGGAAACUGGGUCUAAUACCGGAUAGGCCGAUGGUUUGGAUGCCAUUUUGGAAAGUUUUUUCGGUGUGGGAUGGGCUCGCGGCCUAUCGGCUUGUUGGUGGGGUAGUGGCCUACCAAGGCUUCGACGGGUAGCCGGCCUGAGAGGGUGACGGGCAAAUUGGGAAGGGGAAAAGGGCCAAGAUCCUACGGGAGGGAGGAGUGGGGGAUAAUGGACAAAGGGGGGAAGCCUGAGGGAGGGACGGCGCGGGGGGGAAGACGGCCUUUGGGGUGGAAACUCGUUUCGGUAGAGACGAAGGGUUUGUGUGACGGUACCUGGAGAAGAAGCACCGGCUAACUACGUG
rnacentral:rRNA from 1 species